AGCCCCAUUCACCUUUUCCAGCCCCGUUCACCACCACUCUUUUCUAGCCCCAUUCACCCCAUCCAGCCCCGUUCACCCAUUCCAGCCCCGUUCACCACCGCUCUUUUCCAGCCCUGUCACCACCACUCUUUUCCAGCCCCCUCACCACCUCUCUUUUCCAGCCCCGUUCACCACCACUCUUUUCUAGCCCCAUUCACCCCAUCCAGCCCUGUUCACCCAUUCCAGCCCCGUUCACCACCGCUCUUUUCCAGCCCCGUUCACCACCACUCUUCUCCAGCCCCGUUCACCACCGCUCUUUUCUAGCCCCAUUCACCUUCUCCAGCCCCGUUCACCACCCCUCCUCUCCAGCCCCAUUCACCAUCUCUCUUUUCCAGCCCCGUUCACCACCUCUCUUUUCCAGCCCCGUUCACCACCUCUCUUCUCCAGCCCCGUUCACCACCCCUCUUCUCCAGCCCCGUUCACCACCUCUCCAGCCCCGUUCACCCCCUCUCCAGCCCCGUUCACCACCUCUCCAGCCCCGUUCACCACCUCUCCAGCCCCGUUCACCACCACUCCUCUCCAGCCCUGUUCACCACCUCUCCAGCCCCGUUCACCACCUCUCCUCUCCAGCCCCGUUCACCACCUCUCUUCUCCAGCCCCGUUCACCACCUCUCCAGCCCCGUUCACCACCUCUCCUCUCCAGCCCCGUUCACCACCUCUCCUCUCCAGCCCCGUUCACCUCCUUCUCCAGCCCCGUUCAUCACCUCUCCAGCACCAUUCACCACCUCCUCCAGCCCCGUUCACCUCCUCUCUUCUCCAGCCCCGUUCACCACCUCUCCAGCCCUGAGUCCUCUGCUCAGAAUGAGCUAAAAACUGAUCGACUGGACUGGUGGAGCAGAAUGUAGGCAUGAAAGGUUCAGACCAAUGGACAGUCUUACUCUGGAGCCUCCACUUCUUCUCUCAACCUGUUACAUAUCAGCUGAAAUACUGCAAUAAGACAAGACCAUAUCUAGAGGUGUUACUGAAAACGACUACUAUAAUAAUUCAGAUAUUUAGAUCUGGUAGCAAAUGGGAGUGUUGUAUCUUUUUGUCACAGGUCUGGUUGCCGAUUAGCUCUGGUCUAGGACGAUAGUGCGACUUGCUAACGCUGAGCCUUGACUAGUUGGUUGAUUUUCCAGCUCUAGUUUAACUAAUUAUAGAAUGGUUCCCAAAGAAAAUCGUUUCAACUUUAUUUAUUAAUCUCGAAGCAAUAUUCGGGUAUGUUGGAUUUACUAGCCGUGAGAGAGAGUUCAGUUUUGAUGUUAUUUUCAAUACACUUGAGGUGUUGUCGUUUCAUCCAAACGUUUUGACAGUUGGUCAAUCUGCCUUGUAUCGUUGAUUUUUUUAUUUUUAUUUACUUCAUAGACAUCUGAUGUCAUCUUCGUCCCAAAUGGAACACUUCCCUGGGGCUCUGGUCAAAUCCUAUCUAUGGUUAGGAGGUCAUCACAACUAAUGUCUUGGUUACAGUCAAGGGAUUCAAUGUCAGGAAUGGCUACGGUUUCAUCACCCAUGAAACCCACCAGGUUAUAAAGGAAAUUUAACCCAAGGAUGACUGCCAGAUUUAAAGGUGUAUAAAGGGGUUUUACAUGGCAUGAUGUCACUGUCGGACUGAUGUUAAUAGCAGACACAUUAUAAAACCUUUUAGGAUGAAACGAGAUAAAGGUUGACGUUAAAGUUGAAAAUAAGAGAACUUUGAAAGUGUGAACUGUCCCCUUUAAGCAGAGAGAGAGAGAGAGAGGGUGAACUGACCCCUUUAAGCAGAGAGAGAGAGAGAGAGGGUGAACUGACCCCUUUAAGCAGAGAGAGAGAGGGUGAACUGUCCCCUUUAAGCAGAGAGAGAGAGGGUGAACUGACCCCUUUAAGCAGAGAGAGAGAGAGGGUGAACUGACCCCUUUAAGCAGAGAGAGAGGGUGAACUGACCCCUUUAAGCAGAGAGAGAGAUAUGGUGAACUGACCCCUUUAAGCAGAGAGAGAGGGUGAACUGACCCCUUUAAGCAGAGAGAGAGAGAGAGAGGGUGAACUGUCCCCUUUAAGCAGAGAGAGAGAGAGAGGGUGAACUGUCCCCUUUAAGUAGAGAGAGAGAGAGAGAGGGUGAACUGUCCCCUUUAAGCAGAGAGAGAGAGGGUGAACUGUCCCCUUUAAGCAGAGAGAGAUAUGGUGAACUGACCCCUUUAAGCAGAGAGAGAGGGUGAACUGACCCCUUUAAGCAGAGAGAGAGGGUGAACUGACCCCUUUAAGCAGAGAGAGAGAGGGUGAACUGUCCCCUUUAAGCAGAGAGAGAGGGUGAACUGACCCUUUAAGCAGAGAGAGAUAUGGUGAACUGACCCCUUUAAAGAGAGAGAGAGGGUGAACUGUCCCCUUUAAGCAGAGAGAGAUAUGGUGAACUGACCCCUUUAAGCAGAGAGAGACACUCUUGCUGUAGUCAUGCUGACAGUGGGAUCCAGCUCAGCCAGGCCAGGGAUGACCUUAGCCUGGGUGCUGGUCGGUUUUUGCUCUCUUGCCAUGCAUGGAGUUGGCAAGAGAGCAGAAACAGACUGGCAUCCAGGCUAAGCUGAACUACCUUCCUAUCCAGAGGUUGCUAUGCAGCUCUGGGUUACUGAAAUGCAAUUAAGUUUGUCUGAAAUGGCACCCUAUUCCCUAUAUAGUGCACAGUUCCUGGUCAAAAAGUAGUGCACUAAAUAGGGAAUAGGGUGCCAUUUGGUCACACACAUAUUCCUCUCUCUCCCGCUUGGUUGCAUUUUAGAAAGUAGACUAUAGUGUAAAAUGUAGGCUGUUUUAUUUUCCUUAAUUUGUUGUUGUAUUCAAUAUUUGCACCAUGUUAGAAGCACUUUUGUACAUUUUCUGUUUUUUAUUUAAAUGACAGAAAAGGGAAAUGCUUUAGUUUGUGACAUUAUUGGCAUUCCCUUUGCAAAACUUUUACUGUAUGCAGUUUUUUGUAAUAAACAAAGCUAUUGUUAACAAUAUA
ensembl:lncRNA